rnacentral:tRNA from 1 species
UAGAUUAACCCUGUUGUAAUUGGAUUUUAGCUGUUAACUAAAAGGUCGUAGGAUAAAAGCCUACUAAUCUAG